GACGAACGCUGGCGGCGUGCUUAACACAUGCAAGUCGAACGGAAAGGCCCUGCUUUUGUGGGGUGCUCGAGUGGCGAACGGGUGAGUAACACGUGAGUAACCUGCCCUUGACUUUGGGAUAACUUCAGGAAACUGGGGCUAAUACCGGAUAGGAGCUCCUGCUGCAUGGUGGGGGUUGGAAAGUUUCGGCGGUUGGGGAUGGACUCGCGGCUUAUCAGCUUGUUGGUGGGGUAGUGGCUUACCAAGGCUUUGACGGGUAGCCGGCCUGAGAGGGUGACCGGCCACUUUGGGACUGAGAUACGGCCCAGACUCCUACGGGAGGCAGCAGGGGGGAAUAUUGCACAAGGGGCGGAAGCCUGAUGCAGCAACGCCGCGGGGGGGAUGACGGCCUUGGGGUUGUAAACCGCUUUCCCCUGUGACGAAGGGGGAGUGACGGUAAUGGGUAAAGAAGCACCGGCUAACUACGU
rnacentral:rRNA from 1 species